GAUGUUCGUUACAAGGGAAGACAUUAGAUUAGUGGACUCAACCUCUCUCCAUGGACCCAGGAUGAGCAGAUUGCAGGUACCAACCCGGAAGCAUGGCAUCAGGCUAUUUAUCUUUUUUGGGAUCCUGUGUGUUACUGGGAGGGAUGACUUGAAGAUGAAGGAUCUUGCCAUGAGAAAACUGAAGAGAAGACCCAGCAUGGUGCUCCCAUGGAAACCACAUUGCCUCUGGAUUGUCCAAGCAUGAUGUCCGAUGUCUGCUAUAGUGGAAGGCUGUUCCAGCCGCCUCUGGUUGUCUCCCCUUGCGUCUGUCACAAGCAUUUUCUGCAGAAAGUUGCUUCUAUAUCCAAUCCCAUCCUGACUUCUCUUUUUGAGAAGAGUUUAGCUAAAAUGAAUCUUGUUUGCUAUAAAACUUACCCACAUGGUUUUACUUAUAUCUGCCAUCUUAUGGUUUCCUGUUUGUUUUUCCCAUCUACCCUUUGUUCUUGCCUCCCUUUCUUUACGAUUGCAUUUAAUAAUCAUUCUUUUGUUCUCUAU
rnacentral:lncRNA from 1 species